AACAUCAAAUGGGGUGAUGCUGGUGCUGAGUAUACUAAAGAGUCUACUGGCAUCUUUACCACAGUGGAAAAGGCCAGGACCCACUUGAAGGAUGAAGCCAAAAGAGGAAUCAUCUCUGCCCCUUAUGCUGAUGUCCCCUUGUAUGUGAUGGGUAUGAACCAUGAGAAGUAUGACAACUCACUCAAGAUUCUCAGCAAUGCUUCCUGCAUCACCAACAGCUUAGCACCCAUGACCCCUGUCAUCCCUGACAACUUUGGCAUCAUGGGAGGACUCAGGACCACAUUUCAUGCCAUCACUGCCACUCUGAAGACUGAGAAUUGAUCAUCUGGAAAGCUGUGGUGUGAUGGCCGUGGGACUGCCCAGAACAUCAUCCCUGCAUCUUAUGGUGUUGCCAAGUCUGCAGGCAAGGUCAUCCCAGAGAUCAACAAGAAGCUCACUGGCAUGACCUUCCAUGUCCCUAACCACCAACGUAUCCAUUGUGGAUCUGACAUGCCACCUAGAGAAAACUUCUAACUAUGAUGACAUCAAGAAGGUAGUGAAGCUGGCAUCCAGGGGCCCACUAAAGGACAUGCUGGGAUACACUGAGGACCAGGUAGUCCCUUGUAACAUCAAAAGCAUUUCCCACUCUUCCACCUUUGCUGCUGUGGCUGGCAUUGCUCUCAGUGACAACUUUGUGAAGCUCAUUUCCUGGUAUUACAAUGAAUAUGGCUAAAGCAACAUGGUGGUAGACAUCAUGGUCUAUGUGGCCUCCAAGGAAUAAGAAGCCCUGGACCACCCAACCCAGAAAGGACAUUGAGAGAAAGAGAGACGCCUUUGUCUGCUAAGGAGUCCCAGUCCCAACUCAGCCCCUGACACUGACUAUUUCUUGCACAGUUUCUGUUCCAGAAUCUCUCCAUAAUAGGAGGAGCCUAGGGAGCCCUAAUCUCUUGAAUACCACCACUAUGUUUAUUGUGACAUUAUUUACAGUAGCCCCAUUGUGGAGUUAUUGUAGAUGUUCAUCAAUGUGUAAGUAGAUAAAAAAAAUUUAAAAUGUAUGUGUGUGUGUGUGUGUGUGUGUAUUGUUCUUACUGACUGAAUAGUACUCAAUUGUUGUGUGCCUACAUAUAUAUGUAUAUGUACAUAUAUAUGCACAUAUAAAUAAAUAGAGUAUUAUUCAGUCAGUAAAAACAAAACCAGGUGAGCCUACCAGCUACUAAUGAAGCAGAGUCGGGGCCAGACCAGGCUACUGGGUAAAUUAACAUGUAUCCUGAGCAAUUUAGUGCUACCCUGUCUUAAAGUAAAGAGUACAUACAGGAAUAGGGAAAUAGCUUAGUGAUAGUGUUCCUGUUUAGCAUUUAUGAAGCUCUUGGUUCAAAGCUAAAUUAAUGAAACAGUGUUAUUUCCAGAAAAUGAGUAGAACUGGAGAUUAUCAUGUUAGCAAAAUAAACAAGACU